GGCUGUGCCGGGUAGAGAGGGCAGUGGGAGGUAAGAGCUCUUCACCCUUCACCACCUUCUCCACCCAGCA
rnacentral:pre_miRNA from 1 species